rnacentral:rRNA from 1 species
AGGAUAAACGCUGGCGGCGUGCCUAACACAUGCAAGUCGAACGCGCUUUCGUCUUCGGAGGAGAGCGAGUGGCGGACGGGUGAGUAACACAUGGGUACCUACCCCACAGUGAGGGAUACCGGCGAGAAAUCGCCGACAAUACCGCAUAGGCUUCUCUUUGGAGACGAGGAGAAGCAAAGUUGCGCAAGCGACGCUGAGGGAUGGGCCUGUGGCCGAUUAGCUAGUGGGGGUAACGGCUCCAAGGCUUCGAUCGGUAGCUGGUCUGAGAGGACGAUCAGCCACACUGGGAUUGAGAACGGCCCAGACUCCUACGGGGGCAGCAGUGAGGAAUUUUCCGCAAGUGGAGGCAACUCUGACGGAGCAACGCCGCGUGCAGGAUGAAGGUUUUCGGAUCGUAAACUGCUUUCUCGGGAAGAGAACGGACGGUACCCGAGGAAUCAGCCCGGCUAACUACGUGCCAGCAGCGC